AUUGAACGCUGGCGGCAUGCCUUACACAUGCAAGUCGAACGGCAGCGCGGGGCAACCUGGCGGCGAGUGGCGAACGGGUGAGUAAUAUAUCGGAACAUACCCUAGAGUGGGGAUAACGUAGCGAAAGUUACGCUAAUACCGCAUACGCACUAAGGUGGAAAGUGGGGGAUUCGCAAGAACCUCAUGCUCAUGGAGUGGCCGAUAUCUGAUUAGCUAGUUGGUGAGGUAAAGGCUCACCAAGGCGACGAUCAGUAGCUGGUUUGAGAGAACGACCAGCCACACUGGAACUGAGACACGGUCCAGACUCCUACGGGAGGCAGCAGUGGGGAAUUUUGGACAAUGGGGGCAACCCUGAUCCAGCAAUGCCGCGUGAGUGAAGAAGGCCUCGGUUGU
rnacentral:rRNA from 1 species